GCGCCCGUGUGCAGUCCGCCUGCAGUCCGCCCCUCCGGAGGCGGUGGCGCAGGUUCGAAUCCUGCCGGGGGCA
rnacentral:tRNA from 1 species